rnacentral:rRNA from 1 species
AGCGCAGGCGGCCAAGUCAGUCUGAAGUGAAAGCCCGGGGCUUAACCCCGGAAUAGCUUUGGAUACUGCCUGGCUUGAGUGUGCGAUAGGAAAGCGGAAUUCCAGGUGUAGCAGUGAAAUGCGUAGAUAUCUGGAGGAACACCGGUGGCGAAAGCGGCUUUCUGGCGCAUAACUGACGCUGAGGCUCGAAAGCGUGGGGAGCGAACG